rnacentral:rRNA from 1 species
UCAAGUGAAUAAGAGCAUGUGGUGGAUGCCUUGGCGAUGAUAGGCGAAGAAGGACGUGAUAGCCUGCGAUAAGCUCCGGUGAGUUGGCAAAUGAACUUUGACCCGGAGAUUUCCGAAUGGGGAAACCCACCCGAACAGGGUAUUUGCUUUUGAAUACAUAGAAAGCAAAGGCGAACCAAGCGAACUGAAACAUCUAAGUAGCUUGAGGAAAAGACAUCAACCGAGAUUCCGAAAGUAGUGGCGAGCGAAAUUGGAUCAGCCUUCCAGUGAUAGCGCAAUCGUUAGCAAAACGAGGUGGAAAACUCGGCCGUAGCAGGUGAUAGCCCUGUAUGCGAAAGCGAAUGUGUGGUACUAGACUGGUAACAAGUAGGGCGGGACACGUGUAAUCCUGUCUGAAUAUGGGGGGACCAUCCUCCAAGGCUAAAUACUCAUCAUCGACCGAUAGUGAACAAGUACCGUGAGGGAAAGGCGAAAAGAACCCCGGGAGGGGAGUGAAAUAGAUUCUGAAACCGCAUGCUUACAAAAAGUCGGAGCCCUUUUGGGUGACGGCGUACCUUUUGUAUAAUGGGUCAGCGACUUACAUUCAGUGGCGAGGUUAACCGAGUAGGGGAGCCGCAGAGAAAUCGAGUCCGAACAGGGCGUUUGAGUCGCUGGGUGUAGACCCGAAACCAGGUGAUCUAUCCAUGACCAGGAUGAAGGUGCCGUAACAGGUACUGGAGGUCCGAACCGACUGGUGUUGCAAAACCAGCGGAUGAGUUGUGGAUAGGGGUGAAAGGCUAAACAAACCUGGAAAUAGCUGGUUCUCUCCGAAAACUAUUUAGGUAGUGCCUCACGUAUUGCCUUUGGGGGUAGAGCACUGUUUUGGCUAGGGGGUCAUGGCGACUUACCAAACCAAGGCAAACUCCGAAUACCAAAGAGCAGAGCGUGGGAGACAGUGCACCGGGUGCUAACGUCCGGACACGAGAGGGAAACAACCCAGACCGCCAGCUAAGGUCCCUAAAAUUGGCUAAGUGGGAAACGAAGUGAGAAGGCUAAAACAGUCAGGAUGUUGGCUUAGAAGCAGCCACCAUUUAAAGAAAGCGUAAUAGCUCACUGAUCGAGUCGUCUUGCGCGGAAGAUGUAACGGGGCUCAAGCCAGUUACCGAAGCUGCGGAUGCACAGCAAUGUGCGUGGUAGGAGAGCGUUCUGUAAGUCUGUGAAGGCGGUCUGAGAAGGCUGCUGGAGAUAUCAGAAGUGCGAAUGCUGACAUGAGUAGCGUUAAAGCGGGUGAAAAGCCUGCUCGCCGUAAGCGCAAGGUUUUCUAUGCAACGUUCAUCGGCGUAGAGUAAGUCGGCCCCUAAGGUAAGGCAGAGAUGCGUAGCUGAUGGGAAACAGGUUAAUAUUCCUGUACCGAUGUGCAGUGCGAUGUGGGGACGGAUCUUAAUAGGUUGUCCGGGUUUUGGAUAUCCCGGUUUAGAUGGAAGUAGGUGUGCAUCAGGCAAAUCCGGUGCAUAUGUGCCCAGGCCAUCGAUCGAGCAAGCUUGCUUGCGAAGCAACUGAACGAGGUUCCAGGAAAAGCCACUAAGCUUCAGCUGCACACGACCGUACCGCAAACCGACACUGGUGCGCGAGAUGAGUAUUCUAAGGCGCUUGAGAGAACUCAGGAGAAGGAACUCGGCAAAUUGACACCGUAACUUCGGGAGAAGGUGUGCCCUAGUAGUGUGAUGAGAGCAUCUGAGCAUGAAUGGGUUGCAAAAAAUAGGUGGCUGCGACUGUUUAUUAAAAACACAGCACUCUGCAAACACGAAAGUGGACGUAUAGGGUGUGACGCCUGCCCGGUGCUGGAAGAUUAAGUGAUGGGGUGCAAGCUCUUGAUCGAAGUCCCAGUAAACGGCGGCCGUAACUAUAACGGUCCUAAGGUAGCGAAAUUCCUUGUC